rnacentral:rRNA from 1 species
GACGAACGCUGGCGGCGUGCUUAACACAUGCAAGUCGAACGAAGAGCGAUGGAAGCUUGCUUCUAUCAAUCUUAGUGGCGAACGGGUGAGUAACGCGUAAUCAACCUGCCCUUCAGAGAGGGACAACAGUUGGAAACGACUGCUAAUACCGCAUACGAUCUAAUCUCGGCAUCGAGGAUAGAUGAAAGGUGGCCUCUACAUGUAAGCUAUCACUGAAGGAGGGGAUUGCGUCUGAUUAGCUAGUUGGAGGGGUAACGGCCCACCAAGGCGAUGAUCAGUAGCCGGUCUGAGAGGAUGAACGGCCACAUUGGGACUGAGACACGGCCCAGACUCCUACGGGAGGCAGCAGUGGGGAAUCUUCCGCAAUGGACGAAAGUCUGACGGAGCAACGCCGCGUGAGCGAUGACGGCCUUCGGGUUGUAAAGCUCUGUUAAUCGGGACGAAAGGCCUCCUUGCGAAUAGUGAGAAGGAUUGACGGUACCGGAAUAGAAAGCCACGGCUAACUACGUG